rnacentral:lncRNA from 1 species
UUAAAAUAAAUCAUUCCUUAAAGUCCAAUUUUUAAUUAAAGAAAAAUAGAAAAUUUGGAGACAUUUUGUUGUAGGAUUCCAUUUCUAGUUUCUAGAUUCUAAAUCAAAUAAACAUUGAGUUUUUGUCUACAAACUGAUUAACUGAAUUAUAAACAUAACAUAUAUGAGUGCCUUUACACAACAUUCAUUCUGAGAUGAAUAUUGUUUAUCUUAUUUUUUGUUUGUGUGUUUCAUUAUGUAGCUUAUUUAUUUUCAAACACUCUAUUUUUAAAUUUCACCUCACAUGCUAUUUUUUGUCUUUUCAAGAAACCUAAAUCAAAUAUGCCAUUGCAAAUGUUCUUUUAUUGUAUGUUUAUCAUAUUAUGAUGGUGGAAUCUGUCAUUUCAAAAGGUCAUAAGUAAGAAUGGGUACAAAAGGACAACACUUCUGGAUGGCCACUUUACCCUCAAUACAUAUAUUGAGACAUUUUGUAAGACUUGCACAUACAAUACACUGAAAAAGUGUUAAGCUUUUAUAGUCAAAAUCUUUACGAAGAGUUGGUUUGAAUUGAAUGGGUGAUUUAUGUAAAAUGCAAAC